GACGAACGCUGGCGGCGUGCUUAACACAUGCAAGUCGAACGGAAAGGCCCUGCUUUUGUGUGGUGCUCGAGUGGCGAACGGGUGAGUAACACGUGAGUAACCUGCCCUUGACUUUGGGAUAACUUCAGGAAACUGGGGCUAAUACCUGAUAGGAGCUCCUGCUGCAUGGUGGGGGUUGGACAGUUUAGGCGGUUGGGGAUGGACUCGGGGGUUAUCAGCUUGUUGGUGGGGUAGUGGCUUACCCAGGCUUUGACGGGUAGCCGGCACGAGAGGGUGGCCGGCCACAUUGGGACUGAGAUAGGGAGCAGUGUCGAACGGGGGGCAGCAGUGGGGAACAUGGCACAAUGGGGGGACGCGUGAUGAAGCAGCGUCGCGAGCGGGAUGACCGCCUUCGGGUGGUAAACCGCUGUCGCCUGUGACGAAGCGUGAGUGACGGUAAUGGGUAAAGAAGCACCGGCUAACUACGUG
rnacentral:rRNA from 1 species